rnacentral:rRNA from 1 species
UUAAGUCAGGCAACGAGCGAGACCCACGCCCACAGUUGCCAGCGUACUCUCCGGAGUGACGGGUACACUGUGGGGACCGCCGCUGCUAAAGCGGAGGAAGGAAUGGGCAACGGUAGGUCAGUAUGCCCCGAAUAUCCCGGGCUACACGCGAGCUACAAUGGUUGGUACAAUGGGUAUCUACCCCGAAAGGGGAUGGAAAUCUCCUAAAGCCAAUCUUAGUUCGGAUUGAGGGCUGCAACUCGCCCUCAUGAAGCUGGAAUCCGUAGUAAUCGCGUUUCAACAGAACGCGGUGAAUACGUCCCUGCUCCUUGCACA